GACGAACGCUGGCGGCGUGCUUAACACAUGCAAGUCGAACGGAAAGGCCCUGCUUUUGUGGGGUGCUCGAGUGGUGAACGGGUGAGUAACACGUGAGUAACCGGCCCUUGACUUUGGGAUAACUUCAGGAAACUGGGGCUAAUACCGGAUAGGAGCUCCUGCUGCAUGGUGGGGGUUGGAAAGUUUCGGCGGUUGGGGAUGGACUCGCGGCUUAUCAGCUUGUUGGUGGGGUAGUGGCUUACCAAGGCUUUGACGGGUAGCCGGCCUGAGAGGGUGACCGGCCACAUUGGGACUGAGAUACGGCCCAGACUCCUACGGGAGGCAGCAGUGGGGAAUAUUGCACAAUGGGCGGAAGCCUGAUGCAGCAACGCCGCGUGCGGGAUGACGGCCUUCGGGUUGUAAACCGCUUUCGCCUGUGACGAAGCGUGAGUGACGGUAAUGGGUAAAGAAGCACCGGCUAACUACGUG
rnacentral:rRNA from 1 species